GGCGGUAGGACAAACCGGAGGAAGUGGGGAUGAACGUCAAGUCCUCAUGGCCCUUAUGGUAGGGCUUCACACGUCAUACAAUGGUCGGUACAGAGGGUUGCCAAGCCGCGAGGCGGAGCCAAUCCCACAAAGCCGAUCGUAGUCCGGAUUGUUCUCUGCAACUCGAGAGCAUGAAGUCGGAAUCGCUAGUAAUCGCAGGUCAGCAUACUGCGGUGAAUACGUUCCCGGGUCUU
rnacentral:rRNA from 1 species